GACGAACGCUGGCGGCGUGCUUAACACAUGUAAGUCGAACGGGGAAGCUGCAGCUUGCUGGAGUGGCUCAAUGGCGAAAGGGUACGUAACACGUGAGCAACCUGCCCCUGACUCUGGAAUAAGCGCUGGUAACGGCGUCUAAUAUUGGAUACGAUAAGGGUCCGCAUUGGCACUUUCUGGACAGUUUUUCGGUUGGGGAUGGGCUCACGGCCUACCAACUGGUUGGUGAGGUAAUGGCUCACCAAGGCGACGACGGAUAGCCGGCAUGGGAGGGCGAACGGCCACACGGGGACUGAGGCAGGGCCCAGUCUAGUACGGGGGGCAGCAGUGGGAAAUAUUGUACAAUGGGCGAAAGCCUGAUGAGGCGACGCCGCGUGAGGGAAGCCGGCCUUCGGGUUGUAAACAGCUGUAAGCAGGGAAGAAGCGACAGUGACGGUACCUGCAGAAGAAGCACGGGCUAACUACGUG
rnacentral:rRNA from 1 species